GUGAGGAAUUUUCCGCAAUGGGCGAAAGCCUGACGGAGCAAUGCCGCGUGAAGGAUGAAGGCCUAUGGGUUGUAAACUUCUUUUCUCAGAAAAGAAUUAUGACGGUAUCUGAGGAAUAAGCAUCGGCUAACUCUGUGCCAGCAGCCGCGGUAAGACAGAGGAUGCAAGCGUUAUCCGGAAUGAUUGGGCGUAAAGCGUCUGUAGGUUGUUUAAAAAGUAUUCUGUCAAAGAUUAGGGCUUAACCCUAGAUAGGCAGAAUAAACUUUUAAGCUAGAGUUUGGUAGAGGCAGAGGAAAUUCCCGGUGGAGCGGUGAAAUGCGUAGAUAUCGGGAGGAACACCAAAGGCGAAGGCACUCUGCUGGGCCAAUACUAACACUGAGAGACGAAAGCGAGGGGAGCAAAUGGGAUUAGAAACCCGGGUAGUCC
rnacentral:rRNA from 1 species